AAAAUUGCUUGAACAAAUAGUUUUAAAAGGUUGCCUUUCAAAAUGAUUGCAUUAAGGCAGGGACUUUAACGGCAGUUUGUGGAUUUAAAAUAAAGGUAUUACCUGGUUUUGUUUCCCCUCCCCUCUUCCCAGGGCUUAGAUGUAGAUUCACUGGUCAUUGAGCACAUCCAGGUGAACAAAGCUCCCAAGAUGCGGCGCAGGACUUAACAGAGCUCAUGGUCGGAUCAACCCUUACAUGAGCUCUCCCUGCCACAUUGAGAUGAUCCUUACUGAAAAAGAGCAGAUUGUUCCUAAACCAGAAGAGGAGGUUGCACAGAAGAAAAAGAUAUCCCAGAAGAAACUGAAGAAACAAAAACUUAUGGCCCGGGAAUAAAUUCAGC